rnacentral:tRNA from 1 species
GGGGAUUUAGCUCAGUGGUAGAGCGCUUGCCUAGCAAGCGCAAGACACUGGGUUUGGUCCCCA